rnacentral:rRNA from 1 species
GACGAACGCUGGCGGCGUGCCUAAUACAUGCAAGUAGAACGCUGAAGGAGGAGCUUGCUUCUCUGGAUGAGUUGCGAACGGGUGAGUAACGCGUAGGUAACCUGCCUGGUAGCGGGGGAUAACUAUUGGAAACGAUAGCUAAUACCGCAUAAUAGCAGUUGUUGCAUGGCAACUGUUUGAAAGUUGCACUUGCCCCACUACCAGAUGGACCUGCGUUGUAUUAGCUAGUUGGUGGGGUAACGGCUCACCAAGGCGACGAUACAUAGCCGACCUGAGAGGGGGAUCGGGCAAACUGGGACUGAGACACGGCCCAGACUCCUACGGGAGGCAGCAGUAGGGAAUCUUCGGCAAUGGACGGAAGGCUGACCGAGCAACGCCGCGGGAGUGAAGAAGGUUUUCGGAUCGGAAAGCUCUGUUGUAAGAGAAGAACGAGUGUGAGAGUGGAAAGUUCACACUGUGACGGUAUCUUACCAGAAAGGGACGGCUAACUACGUG